UUCCCCCCGGCCACCAAACCGUGAGUGUCCAACUCACCGUUUUUGUCUCUUUAAAAAAAAAAAAAAGAAAAAAAAAUUUAAAAAAAUUUAAAAAAUAACAAAACCGCAAUUAAAAAAAAAACAAAACCAGGAGAAAAUAGAUCAUUUAUUAUAACACUGUUUUUUUGUUUUGUUGUUUUUUUUUUUUAUCAGAACAGACCUCGGUGUUGUAAUAUUUAAUUUAUUUUCAUUUUCGUCGUCUUAAGAUAGUCCAGAUUUCCACGCCGCAGCUGUCAUUUCCACCCGAGACAGAGAAUUAAACGCGUGCCAAAGUUUUAUUCCGGUUAAAUAAAGAAGACGCACUUUGGAUCGGCCCUCGGUUAGUGACACAGAGAUCAUGAACGCGGCGGGGAGCAGCUACCCGAUGGCUUCUCUGUACGUGGGCGAUCUGCACCAGGACAUCACCGAGGCCAUGCUGUAUGAGAAGUUUAGCCCGGCCGGCCCGGUGCUCUCCAUCCGCGUCUGCCGCGACAUGAUUACGCGCCGCUCCCUGGGCUACGCUUAUGUCAACUUCCAGCAGCCGGCGGACGCCGAGAGAGCUCUGGACACGAUGAACUUUGACGUGGUGAAGGGCAAGCCCAUCAGAAUCAUGUGGUCACAGCGAGACCCGUCGCUUCGCAAGUCAGGCGUUGGAAAUGUCUUCAUCAAAAAUCUGGACAAGUCCAUUGACAACAAGGCCCUCUACGACACCUUCUCAGCUUUUGGGAACAUCCUGUCCUGCAAGGUGGUGUGUGAUGAGAACGGAUCCAAAGGCUAUGCGUUUGUACACUUCGAGACGCAGGACGCUGCCGACCGCGCCAUCGAGAAGAUGAAUGGCAUGCUGCUGAACGACCGCAAGGUGUUUGUGGGAAGGUUUAAAUCCAGGAAGGAGAGAGAGGCCGAGCUCGGCGCCAAAGCCAAAGAGUUCACCAACGUCUACAUCAAAAACUUUGGGGAGGACAUGGACGACGAAAGGCUGAAAGAAAUCUUUGAUAAAUACGGUAAAACUCUGAGUGUGAAAGUGAUGACUGAUCCCAUGGGCAAAUCACGAGGAUUCGGCUUCGUCAGCUACGAGAAACACGAAGAUGCUAACAAGGCUGUGGAGGACAUGAACGGCACGGAGCUGAACGGUAAGGCCGUGUUCGUGGGACGCGCUCAGAAGAAGAUGGAGAGACAAGCCGAGCUGAAGAGGAAGUUCGAGCAGCUCAAGCAGGAGAGGAUCAGCAGAUACCAGGGCGUGAACUUGUACAUCAAAAAUCUGGACGACACCAUCGACGACGAAAAACUGCGCAAGGAAUUCUCUCCGUUUGGCUCCAUCACCAGCGCCAAGGUGAUGCUGGAGGAAGGACGCUCUAAAGGUUUUGGUUUUGUGUGCUUCUCGUCUCCUGAGGAGGCCACCAAGGCCGUGACGGAGAUGAACGGACGCAUCGUGGGCUCCAAGCCGCUUUAUGUGGCUUUGGCACAGCGCAAAGAGGAGCGCAAAGCUCACCUCACCAACCAGUACAUGCAGCGCAUCGCUGGGAUGAGAGCCAUGCCUGCUAAUGCCAUCAUUAACCAGUUCCAGCCCACUAGCGGAUACUUCAUGCCCGCCGUGCCACAGGCCCAGAACAGAACCACAUACUACGCCCCCAGUCAACUCACCCAGAUGAGGCCGAACCCACGCUGGCAGCAGCAGGGGGUCCGAGGUCAGGGAGGCUUCCAGGCUGUGCCCAACUCAUUGCGCCAACCUGGCCCCCGUGCCAACAUUCGUCACAUGGCACCCAACGCCAAUGCCCAGGGACCCCGCGCCAUGCCAACAGGUGCCCAUAGAGGGGCUGGAAGCGGUCAGCCCAUGGGGACUCGCCCUGGGCUCGGUGUGACCACACCACGUGCCAUGCCGCCCUACAAAUACGCCACCGCGGUGCGUAACACCCAGCCUCAAGUAGUCCAACCCAUCACCUUACAACAGGCCCAGCCAGCGGUGCACGUACAGGGUCAGGAGCCUCUGACGGCCUCCAUGCUGGCUGCAGCUCCUCCACAGGAACAGAAGCAGAUGUUGGGUGAGCGUCUGUUCCCUUUAAUCCAGGCCAUGCACUCGACUCUGGCGGGGAAGAUCACAGGGAUGCUUCUGGAGAUUGAUAAUUCUGAGCUGCUGCACAUGCUCGAGUCCCACGAGUCUCUGCGCUCCAAGGUGGAGGAGGCCGUCGCUGUGCUUCAGGCUCACCAGGCGAAGAAAGACGCGACACAAAAAGCUGGAGUAGUUGCUGCCACUGCUACAUCAUGACAUGGAAACCUCACGGCCCAAACGGUUCCGUUCUGACAUAAGACUCGACGUACCGCUACAGCGAACUGUGGAGAAGUAGACGCCACACUGGCUGCUGCCUCCUAUCACAACGGGAGACAUACAAAUAUUUCGCUAUAGACGUAUAUAUAUAUAUAUAUAUAUAUAUAUAUAUAUAUAUAUAUAUAUAUAUAUAUAUAUAUA